GAGGCCAUGUAACAAAUCGUCGAGUCUCUAGUGUUCUACCUUAAUCCUCUGGCAUGUAAUGCUUUGAGAGAUGUAGUUGAUAAUGUCCUUCUUCAUUCCUAGCCACCAGUAUUGGCACUUCAGGUCCCAGUACAUCUUGGUACUCCCGGGAUGGAUGGAUAGUUUGGAGGCAUGGGCAGCCUUGAGAACAUCUAUCCUAACAGUGAUAGGGACCCA
rnacentral:lncRNA from 1 species